AUGCUAACACGUAAUUUUAGCCAAAAUAUUUUUUUUGAGAAAUGGCAGUGGAAACGCCUGUAUGCGGAAAUAUUGAUAUAAUAACCAUCAUAUCGAAGUAAAUUUGGAGUCACGCAAUAUGGUGUGUGGUCCUCCCACUACGACCAGAAUAGGACUCGGGAAACGAUGCAGUUUAUUAAACCACAGAUUAAAUAAAUGAUGACUAACUUCAUAGGAUGGUGAAAGUGUACGAUGAUGAGCUUGAUGCUACUUUCAAAUAAAUAUUGAGCGUCUUAUUCUUGCGACAUAAUGAUAUAUGCUUGACAAACAAAUUAUUCUCGCUCUUAUGUAAUCAUCACGUAAACCAGCCUACCAGCACUGUAUCUGUGAGCUGUUGGCUAGAGUGCAAGUGCCAAAACCAGAGUUGGAACAUUUGCUAUUUAAUGCAACAGUUUGUGACAGAACUAUCGGUAGGGGCAGAUUUGAAAAUGCGAUGGAAACACAUUGAACCUGAGAUUAUUCUUCGCUACAUGAAAAUGUCCGUUUUGGAGCGGCUGAUAGGGCAUCACCUGUACGCCAAGGCGGAGAAGUUCCUUUUCUCUCAGCAGGCGGUCUCCUUCCUGGGCUAUUGAAUAUGCACUGCGGGGCUAGAGAUGGAAGAGGUGUGUUCUAGGCUAUCAGCCGGCCCUGACACCGGAGUCAGAUCGAGGCUCCUGCAGUGGAUGAUUGGUUCCGGCAGAAGACGCAGGCCGAUCGUCACCGCAGUCUGGCCCCGGUCUUUCACCCCGAUGACAAGCUCUGGCUUUCUACGAAGGACCUGCCCCUCCGCCUGUCCUGCCAGAAGCUGAGCCUGUGAUUUAUGGGGCCGUUCAAAGUCCUGAGGAGAGUCAAUGAGGUGACGUACAGAUUACAGAUUACAAUUAUCGUAUCUCAGCCUCAUUUCAUGUAUCUCUCCACAGGCCGGUGGCAGCUGGUCCCUUGGCUAGUGUUGGACCCCACAACGCACCUCCCCCUCUCUUGGACUUCAAGGGGGCCCUGGCAUACUCCGUCCGCAGCCUGCGUCGUGGGGGCUUCUCCAGUACCCGGUCGGCUGGGAGGGCUACGGUCCGAAGAGCGGUGAUGGGUUCCGGCACAGGAUGUCCUGGAUCGUUCUCUCCUUCGGGACUUCCACAGAUGUCGUCCCGACCUAUCUGCACUGUGUCUCCGGGGUCAUCCCCAAAAUCAGCGGCGCCCCACAGGGGUAGGAACUGUCACACCAGCCUUCACUAUGACUCCCUGUCCUGUCCAGCUAAGGCGUUCGGCGUCGCCGGCCUUCUAGCUGCUGCUGAACCUACUCCCCGGACUUAUCAUCAUCAUCAUUACACACACCUGGUUCCAAUCCCCACUCUAUAUAUACUCCCUCUGCCAUUUGUCAUUGUAAAUGUUACUUGUUUUCCUGAGAGGAAUCUCUCCUACUUUUUCCUGAGUACUUUAUAUUCUGCACUUUGGGUUCGUGUUGUGCCUUUUUGUUUAUGAAGAUAUAGUUUGAGUACAACAGCGUUUGGGUUUCAUCCCGCUUUGAUCUAUGGUGCUUAAAUAAAUUCAGUAGUUCUAAACCUGCAACUGCCUCCUGCCUACUCCUCUCUACACCAGUGACAACGGUUAAUGUCCUGGGAGACAAAUUUACCUUUCAGCAGGACAAUACCCGAAAACACAAUGACAAAUAUACACUGGAGUUGUUUACCAAGACAACAUGGAAUGUUCCUGAUUGGCCUAGUUAUAGUUUUGACUUAAAUCGGCUUAAAUCUAUGGCAAGACUUAAAUGACUGUCUAGCAAUGAUCAACAACCAACUUGACAGAGCUUGAUUUUUUGUUUUUUAAGAAUUUAUUUUAUUUCAGCUUUAUUUUACCAGGUAGGCUAGUUGAGAACAAGUUCUCGUUUACAACUACGACCUGGCCAAGAUAAAGCAAAGCAGUGCGACACAAACACAGAGUUACACAUGGAAUAAACAAGUGUGCAGUCAAUAACAAAAUAGAAAAAAAGAAAGUCUAUAUACAGUGUGUGCAAAUGGAAUGAGGAGGUAAGGCAAAUAGGCCAUAGUAGCGAAGUAAUUACAAUUUAGCAAAUUAACACUGGAGAGAUAGAUGUGCAGAUGAUGAUAUGCAAGUAGAAGUACUGGUGUGCAGAAAAGUAAAUAAAAACAAUAUGGGAUGAGGUAGGUAGAUUGGAUGGGCUAUGUACAGCUGCAGCGAUCAGUUAGCUGAUGUUUAAAGUUAGUGAGGGAAAUCUAAAUCUCCAGCGUUUUUUUUUUUUUUUGCAAUUCGUUCCAGUCAUUGGCAGCAGAGAACUGGAAGGAAAGGCGGCCAAAGUAGUUGUUGGCUUUGUACAAAUAUUGAAUACAAAUAUUGUACAAAUCAGAUAUGCAAAUCUCUUAGACUUACCCAGAAAGAGCUGUAAUCACUGCCAAAGGUGAUCCUAGCAUGUAUUGACAUAUAUUAUUUUAUGUCACAGCCUUACUCUAAAAUAUAUAUUUUUUAAACAAUCAAUCUACACACAAUACCCAAUAAUGAAGUAAAAACAUUUUUUUUUGCAAAUGUAUUAAAAAUAAACUGAAAUAUCACAGUUACAUAAGUAUUUAGACCCUUUAAACUCAGUACUUUGUUGAAGCACCUUUGGCAGCGAUUACAGCCUUGAGUCUUCUUGGGUAUGACACGUCAAGCUUGACACCUGGCUGGGCCACUCAAGAACAUUCAGAGACUAGUCCCGAAGCCACUUCUGCGUUGUCUUGCCUAUGUGCUUAGGGUCCUGUUGGAAGGUGAACCUUCACCCCAGUCUGAGGUCCUGAGUGCUCUGGAGCAGGUUUUCCUCAAGGAUCUCUCUGUACUUUGUUCCGUUCAUCUUUUCCUCGAUCCUGACUAGUCACCCACUCCCUGCCACUGAAAAACAUCCCCACAGCAUAAUGCUGCCACCACCAUGCUUCACAGUAGAGAUGGUGACAGAUUUCCUCCAGACGUGACGCUGGGCAUUUAGGCCAAAGAGUUCAAUCUUGGUUUCAUCAGACCAGAGAAUCUUGUUUCUCAUGGUCUGAGUCCUGUAGGUGCCUUUUGGCAAACUGCAAGCGAGCUGUCAUGUGCCUUUUACUGAGGAGUGGCUUCCGUCUGACCACUCUAACAUAAAGGCCUGAUUGAUGGAGUGCUGCAGACAUUGUUGUCCUUCUGGAAGGUUCUCCCAUCUCCACAGAAGAACUCUGGAACUCUAUCAGAGGGGCCAUCGGGUUCUUUGACACAUCCCUGACCAAGGCCCUUCUCCCCCGAUUGCUCAGUUUGGCCGGGCGGCCAGCUCUAGGAAGAGUUUUGGUGGUUCUAACCUUAUUCCAUUUAAGAAUGAUGGAGACCACUGUGUUCUUGGGGACCUUCAAUGCUGCAAACAUUUUUUGGUACUUUUCCCCAGACCUGUGCCUCGACACAAUCCUGUCUCAGAGCUCUGCAGACAAUUUCUUCGACCUCAUGGCUUGGUUUUUUCUCUGACAUGCACUGUCAGCUGUGGGACCUAAUAUAGACAGGUGUGUGCCUUUCCAAAUCAUGUCCAAUCAAUUUAAUUUUCCACAGGUGGACUCCAAUCAAGUUGAAGAAACAUCUCAAGGAUGAUCAAUGGAAACAUGAUGCACCUGAGCUCAAUUUCGAGUCUCAUAGCAAAGGGGCUGAAUAAAUCAAAUCAAAUUUUAUUAGUCCCAUGCGCUGAAUACGACAACAGGUGUAGUAGACCUUACAGUGAAAUGCUUACUUAUGAGCCCCGAACCGACAAUGCAGUUAAAACAUUUUUAAAGUAAAAUAUGAAAUAAGAGUAACAAGUAAUUAAAGAGCAGCAGUAAAAUAACAAUAGCGAGACUAUAUACAUGGGGGUACCGGUACAGAGUCAAUGUGCGGAGGCACCGGUUAGUCAAGGUAAUUGAGGUAAUAUGUACAUAUAGGUAGGGUUAUUAAAGUGGGGGUGGGAGGUGGGGGGGCAAUGCAAAUAGUCUUGGUUGGCAUUUGAUUAGAUGUUCAGGAGUCUUAUGGCUUGGGGGUAGAAGCUGUUAAGAAGCCUCUUGGACCUAGACUUGGCGCUCCGGUACCACUUGCUGCGCCGUAGCGGAGAGAACAGUCUACGACUAGGGUGGCUGGAGUCUUUGACAAUUUUUAGGGCCUUCCUCUGACACCGCCUGAUAUAGAGGUCCUGGAUGUCAGGAGGCUUGGCCCCACUGGGCUGUACGCACUACCCUCUGUAGUGCCAUGCGGUCGGAGGCCGAACAGUUGCCAUACCAGGCAGUGAUGCAACCAGUCAGGAUGCUCUCGAUGUUGCAGCUGUAGAACCUUUUGAGAAUCUGAGGACCCAUGUCAAAUCUUUUCAGUCUCCUGAGGGGGAAUAGGUUUUGUCGUGCCCUCUUCACGACUGUCUUGGUAUGCUUGGACCAUGUUAGUUUGUUGAUGAUGUGGACACCAAGGAAUACUUAUGUAAAUAAGUUAUUUCUGUUUUUAAUUUUUAAUACAUUUGCAGAAGUUUCUAAAAACCUGUUUUUGCUUUGUUUUUAAUAGGGUAUUUGUGUGUAGAUUGAUGAGAAAAAAAUAUUUAAUCAAUUUUAGAACAAGGCUGUACUGUAAGAAAAUGUGGAAUAAGUCAAGGGGUCUGAAUACUUUCCAAAUGCACUCUAUUUCUAAAUUUAAUGUUCAAUAAAUGUGCAAAAAUGUCUAAAAACAUGUUAUAACUUUGUCAUUAUGGGGUAUUUUGUGUAGAUGGGUGAGAAAAAAUAUAAUUUUGAUCCAUUUUGAAUUCAGGCUGUGACACAACAAAAUGUGGAAUUCCUGUCGAAAUAAAGGUUACAUUAUAUUUUUAUUUUUAUUUUUGUGGUAUUUAUAUAACAUUUUCAGUAAAAUAACUUUUAGGGGAGAAUACACACCAAUACAGCACUAUGUGUACAUUCAGAGGGUAGCUGGUUUCUGUAUUACAGUUCUACCAAGUAUUCAUACCACUGACACUUUCUUCAGCUGUUUUGAUUGUGACUAAGCAUAUAUCUAAGGUAAUGUUGAUUUUGUACAUUGUCAUACCUCCACCCUCUGAUGAUAUGUCAUUUGUAAUUAUGUCUCCAGAGAAACCUCGAUUUAAAAAAAAAUUGCCCUAGAAUAACUACUUUUCGGGGGAAUACACAUCAAUACAGAGUGUAUCUGAGUUCUGUUUUUCAGAUCUAUCAAGUAUUUAUACCAUUGGCAGAUUUUUUAUAUGCACAAAAAUAAGGCAAUUUUAGGCAAGUACACGGGGAGCCAAAGGAAACACUAACAUAAAGUGUCUUAAUAGGGAAUUGAUCCACUAGAACAGCUUUAAUGCACCAUGGCAUAGAUUCUACAAGUGUCUGGAAUUCUAUUGGAGGGAUAUGACACCAUUCUUCCAUGAGAAAUUCCCUAAUUUGUUCUGUUGAUGGUGGUGGAAAACACUAUCUCAGGUGCUGCUCCAGAAUCUCCCAUAAGUGUUCAUUUGGGUUGAGAUCUGGUGACAGACAGACAGACACACACACACACACCCUUUAAACCCCCUAUGCUCCUUUGAGACCCCUCGUUCAAAGUCACUGAGAUCUCAUCUUCUAGCCAUGGUAGCCAAAAUAAUGAGAAACUGGGCUAUUUUAUACAUGAUCCUAAGCAUGAUGGAAUGUUAAUUGCAGUGGAAGCAGGGCUGUCUUACCGAACGGGCACGCAUGGCACAUGCCCUGGUGCCCCGUAGAGGUAUGCACUAGUCCAGCACUGUGUGGAAGCACCUGCUUUCAAUAUACUUUGUAUCCCUCAUAAGUGUUUCCUUUAUUUUGGUGGUUACCUGUAUAUCUUUGCGGAUGAUCUGUCUAUCUAGUCAAAAUCACCGAUACAGGUCCCCCUCCACCCUUUGGUGGUAUGGAUAACUUGUAAUUAUGUUUCCAGAGAAACUUAGAUUUAAAUAAAGGUCCUAUUUAUCACAUUUCAAUAGGCGGACGUACGUGUUUUUGGCUGGGGUACAUUUUUUAAAAGUCCAUGUUGAUACAGAAACAUUAAACAAUGAUUUAGAUUUGUUAAGAACAAGUUGAUUGACAAGGUUAUGAAACGUUUGAAGAAUUUUGACCCCAUUUAGUAGCUUAAGGGUUAAAGCCACACAAUGUUCUGCGCACAUCAUCAAAGAGUGGGUCAAUUUGACAUGCAACCGUCAGGUGAUCUCCAUAUAUGUAAUGCUCAAGGAGUGACAUUCCAUGAGAGCGUUCUACAUGAUUUGAAACAUUGCUUCGUUUGUUUACAAAAUCUAUUACAACAAAUCAAUGGUAACAGGUCCCUCAUUUGUUUUAUAUACUGUAUAUAGUAAGAUUCCCCUGCAUCCCACUGCUGGUUUUCCUCUGAAGCUAAGCAGGGUAGGUCCCUGAAUGGGAGACCAGCUGCUGCUGGAAUUGGUGUUGGAGGGCCAACAGGGGACACUCUUCCCUUCUGAUCUAAGGUGAUCCCAAUGACCAGGGCAGUGAAGGGGAAAUUGCCCUGUGUAGGGUGCUGUCUUUCAGAUGGGAUGUUAAACAGGUGUCCAGACUUCCUGUGGUCAUUAAAAAUGAUAUGGCACUCAUUGUAAGAGUGUUAAACACGGUGUCAUAGCUAAAUUCCAAACCUGGCCCCAUUCCAUCAUGGCCACCUAUUCACUCCCCUCAUUCCUAAUUGGCAUGUAUCACUCCCCACCUUAAUAGCUGAUGUGUGGUGAGUGUUCUGGCACAAAAAUGGUUGCCGUGCAUCACCCAAGUGGGUGCUACACAUUGGUGGUGUAUGAGAUGAGUUUACCCCUCAUUUAUUUAUAAAGCCCUUUUUACAUCUGCGGGUGUCACAAAGUGUUAUACAGAAACCCAAACAGCAAGCAAUGCAGCUUUGAGUACCUCAGUUGGUAGAAAUGUGCUAUAUAAAUCAAAUGUAUUAUUAAAAACAUUUGAACAAUUUGCAUAAAAUAACUCAUCAACAGUAACUCCUUAACCAUUCAAGCUAGAGACACCAACCCAACUUUCUCAUGUUAUCCUAUCUUCAAAUUGUCACGUUCUGACCAUAGUUCUUUUUGUAUUUUCUAUGUUUUAGUGUGGUCAGGGCGUGAGUUGGGUGGGUAUGAUCUAUGUUUUCUGUUUCUAUGUGGGGUUUCUCGUUUGGCCUGAUAUGGUUCUCAAUCAGAGGCAGGUGUUAGUCAUUGUCUCUGAUUGGAACCAUAUUUAGGUAGCCUGUGUUCUAUUGUGUUUUGUGGGUGGUUGUCUUUGUGUGUCUGCACCAGAUAGAACUGUUUUGGUUUUCACGGUUGUUGUUUUUGUAU